CAAAACAUGUCUUAUUGAAAAUAAUUUUAAGUCGAUCUGCCCAAUGAUAUAAUUAAAUGGCUGCAGUAUAAUUAACUGUGCAAAGGUAGCAUAAUCAAUUGGUUUUUAAAUGAAAUCUAGGAUGAAAGGAUUAAUGAAAUAUAUACUGUCUCAUAUAUAUAUUAUGAAUUUAAACUUUUAAUAAAAAUGUUAAAAUUUUUUUAUGGGACGAUAAGACCCUAUAGAAUUUUAUAUAAAAUUAUUUUUAUAUUAAUAUAAAAUUUAAUUUUAUAUUUAAUUGGGAGAAUUAUUAAAUUUAAUAAAUUUUAAUUAAAAAUAACUUUAAUUUAAGAAAAUUAAAAUUGAUCUUUAAUUUAAAAUUUAUAGAAUAAAUUACCUUAGGGAUAACAGCGUUAUAUUUUUUUAUAGAUCUUAUAGAAAAAAAUGAUUGCGACCUCGAUGUUGAAUUAAGAUAAAUUUUAAAUGUAGAAGUUUAAUAAUUAAGUCUGUUCGACUUUUAAAAUCUUACAUGAUUUGAGUUCAAAUCGACGUAAGU
rnacentral:rRNA from 1 species